CCAAUAGUUAUCAAGGUCACUACUAUUGCCACCCGUAUGUAGCAACAGCACAUUGGCAGUUUUAUCAUGACGUCAUUUGUACUUGACGAGUUUGGAAGAUGACGGACGACGCGGGUUUCUUAAUGCUAACUGCGCGCGCCAGACUGAGGUUACUCAAGCUACCUCUGAGUGGGCCAAGCGCUGGCCAUUAGAGACUGUAGCGUGGCAGUGAUGCACUGGGCGUGGUUCUGAUUGAGUCAGGCUGCAUUACAGAAAGCUCCGCGGGCGAUGGGCGAGACGCGCAUCCCUCUGGGGAGGACGGAGAGAGGACGGCGAGGGAAGCAAGAGAGAUUAGUUCAUCCAUUGAAACAAACUUGACGGAAAUGGUGGACGCUCUCAUUAUUCAUUCUCUCCCUGUCAACAUGAGGUUCUGAGGAUUUUCAAAGGACUUUUCUUUUGGAGGGCAGAGUUUGGAGAAGGGCGGGGGGCUGGCGUUGUGCUGGACGCGUGUCAAACGGUCAAUCUAAAUCCAUGGAAACUAACAUGGAAACUAUCAAGCAAUUUACAGCCGUGCCAACCGGCCCUAUUGGAUUCCUUUAUCCCACCCCGCC
ensembl:lncRNA